UAAGAGUCAUAGUUGUGGGGUGUCUUAAGCUCGGUCUCCAGCCCCCCAGGGCGGGAUAAACGGCUCUGGCUCAGUGACAACGCCUAUGCCGUAAGAGCCUGAUGACCCCAAAACCAGGUCCCGCAAAGACACUCCCCCACUCCCUCAACAUCUUAGGAAAUAUAAAUAAAUGUAACCGUAAACAUUUUGGAAAGCACAGAAAGGCUGAAGAAAGCAAGAAUCGCUGAUACCCUACCCAUUAUACUUGGAGAUAACCACUGCUCUUUUUGAUAACCAGAGCCACAACCAUCACCAUCACCGUAGCGAAGACUAUUGCAGGUGGGCUUGGCGAGCAGACCCGGCAGCGGGAGAAGCAGCUAGCAACGUGAUCGACUAUGGAGCGUCGGAGUGCAAGCCCUAAUGAGGAAGUGUGAAAAAAGAAACAUGGCGGGGCAUUUUUUUCAGGAGGAAAAGGCUAGAUCUAGUACACAGACUACAAUGACAUUGUUACUCCCGCUCCCCGCACAGGCGCAGUGCAGGGCGCCUCGGCGCACGCCUACGCGCUCAUCCCGCCCUACCCCCGGCUCUGUCUCCGUCUCUCCCUCUCUUUCCAUGUUCCUCUCCCUUCCUUCUGUCCCUCGCCGCUCCCCCUCCCGUCACUCGGGCUCUCAGCCUUUCCGUUAGUCCGUUCGCGUCUCUCCUUCCGAGCCUCCAUCCCCCUCCCCCCCUUCCCCUUCGGUCCGGAGCCGACGGCGCCUGGCGCGUGCGCACUGGGCGCAGAA